UUCUGAACUUUUAUCUUUGCAGCAAACAUCAAAAUCUCACCUCCAGCAACAGGUCAAGCUGACCUGAAACUAUGAAAGAGAGAAGGAAAGCAGUAUUCCAUCGAAAAUACCAUGCUGAAUGUCUACUGGAAGAGGAAUUAUAGCUGCUUACACAGUUUCAUGGAAUGCUUUUUGGAGACAAGGAAGAGGAGCCUACAGAGUGGGAGAAAAGAUACCAAGGAAAUCAUCAAAAUGAAGAGCCGACACACAAACAAUGUAUUCAAUUCGGCCAUUUUUUGAGAAAUAUACGUACAUGUUUCCUGCAAUGCAACUCACUAUGUAUUUAGUUUGGCCCUUCUUUUUGAGAUGGAACAGUCAUUCCAAUCAGCUUUGCUCGGCAAGAUCGCCAGGCAUGGCCCUGGUUACAUCCACUGGAUAGUUAUCACGCCACACAUUGUGGUAACCCAACGGCUCAGCCCGCACCCAUUGCAACCAGAAUAUGGGUGGGCUUAUUACGUUGAUGAUUUUCAUAGAUAAUGCUAUAAACUUAAUACAUCAUAUAUGGAGAUGAACUUUUAGUUAUAUAUA